AUACGUAGGGGGCGAGCGUUGUCCGGAAUUACUGGGCGUAAAGGGUGCGCAGGCGGUUUUCUAAGUCAGAUGUGAAAUCCCCGGGCUUAACUCGGGUGGUGCAUUUGAAACUGGGGAGCUUAGAGUGCAGGAGAGGAAAGCGGAAUUCCUAGUGUAGCGGUGAAAUGCGUAGAUAUUAGGAGGAACACCAGUGGCGAAGGCGGCUUUCUGGACUGUAACUGACGGUGAGGCACGAAAGCGUGGGGAGCAAACAGGAUUAGAUACCCUGGUAGUCCACGCUGUAAACGAUGGAUACUAGGUGUAGGGGGCAAAAGCCUUCUGUGCCGCAGCAAACGCAAUAAGUAUCCCGCCUGGGGAGUACGGCCGCAAGGUUGAA
rnacentral:rRNA from 1 species